AUUGAACGCUGGCGGCAUGCUUUACACAUGCAAGUCGAACGGUAACAGGCCUUCGGGUGCUGACGAGUGGCGAACGGGUGAGUAAUGCAUCGGAACGUGCCCAGAGGUGGGGGAUAACGCAGCGAAAGCUGUGCUAAUACCGCAUGUGAUCUGAGGAUGAAAGCGGGGGACCAAGCAGCAAUGUUUGGCCUCGCGCCUCUGGAGCGGCCGAUGUCAGAUUAGGUAGUUGGUGGGGUAAAGGCCUACCAAGCCGACGAUCUGUAGCUGGUCUGAGAGGACGACCAGCCACACUGGGACUGAGACACGGCCCAGACUCCUACGGGAGGCAGCAGUGGGGAAUUUUGGACAAUGGGCGCAAGCCUGAUCCAGCAACGCCGCGUGCGGGAAGAAGGCCUUCGGGUUGUAAACCGCUUUUGUACGGAACGAAAAGGCUCUGGCUAAUACCUGGGGCUGAUGACGGUACCAUAAGAAUAAGCACCGGCUAACUACGUG
rnacentral:rRNA from 1 species